rnacentral:rRNA from 1 species
CCUACGGGGGGCAGCAGUGAGGAAUAUUGGUCAAUGGGCGGAAGCCUGAACCAGCCAAGUCGCGUGAGGGAUUAAGGCCCUGCGGGUCGUAAACUUCUUUUGUCGGGGAGUAGUGGUUUGGACGCGUCCGGACCGGGAGAGUACCCGGAGAAAAAGCAUCGGCUAACCCCGUGCCAGCAGCCGCGGUAAUAGGGAGGAUGCGAGAGUUAUCCGGAUUUAUUGGGUUUAAAGGGUGCGUAGGCGGGCAUUUAGGCCGGCGGUCAAAUGUCGGGGCUAAACCCCGGCCUGCCGUCGGAACUGGGUGCCUUGAGUGGGCGAGAGGUAUGCGGAAUGCGUGGUGUAGCGGUGAAAUGCAUAGAUAUCACGCAGAACCCCGAUUGCGAAGGCAGCUUACUAAACUGCCACUGACAUUGAUGCUCGAAAGUGUGGGUAUCAAACAGGAUUAGAUACCCUAGUAGUC